GGUCAAGCGACUAAGCGCACACGGUGGAUGCCUUGGCAGUUAGAGGCGAUGAAGGACGUUGGAGCCUGCGAAAAGCUCUGGUUAGGUGGCAACCAACCGUUAUU
rnacentral:rRNA from 1 species